GAUGAACGCUGGCGGCGUGCCUAAUACAUGCAAGUCGAGCGAACGGACGAGAAGCUUGCUUUUCUGAUGUUAGCGGCGGACGGGUGAGUAACACGUGGAUAACCUACCUAUAAGACUGGGAUAACUUCGGGAAACCGGAGCUAAUACCGGAUAAUAUUUUGAACCGCAUGGUUCAAAAGUGAAAGACGGUCUUGCUGUCACUUAUAGAUGGAUCCGCGCUGCAUUAGCUAGUUGGUAAGGUAACGGCUUACCAAGGCAACGAUGCAUAGCCGAACUGAGAGGGUGAUCGGCCACACGGGAACUGAGACACGGUCCAGACGCCUACGGGAGGCAGCAGUAGGGAAUCUUCCGCAAUGGGCGAAAGCCUGACAGAGCAACGCCGCGUGAGUGAUGAAGGUCUUCCGAUCGUAAAACUCUGUUAUUAGGGAAGAACAUAUGUGUAAGUAACUGUGCACAUCUUGACGGUACCUAAUCAGAAAGCCACGGCUAACUACGUG
rnacentral:rRNA from 1 species